UUAGAGUUUGAUCCUGGCUCCGGACGAACUCUGGCGGCGCGCCUAACACAUGCAAGUCGAACGAGCGAGAGAGAGCUUGCUUUCUCAAGCGAGUGGCGAACGGGUGAGUAACGCGUGAGGAACCUGCCUCAAAGAGGGGGACAACAGUUGGAAACGACUGCUAAUACCGCAUAAGCCCACAGCUCGGCAUCGAGCAGAGGGAAAAGGAGCAAUCCGCUUUGAGAUGGCCUCGCGUCCGAUUAGCUGGUUGGUGAGGUAAUGGCCCACCAAGGCGACGAUCGGUAGCCGGACUGAGAGGUUGAACGGCCACAUUGGGACUGAGACACGGCCCAGACUCCUACGGGAGGCAGCAGUGGGGAAUAUUGCACAAUGGGGGGAACCCUGAUGCAGCGACGCCGCGUGGAGGAAGAAGGUCUUCGGAUUGUAAACUCCUGUUGUUGAGGAAGAUAAUGACGGUACUCAACAAGGAAGUGACGGCUAACUACGUGCCAGCAGCCGCGGUAAAGCGUAGGUCACAAGCGUUGUCCGGAAUUACUGGGUGUAAAGGGAGCGCAGGCGGGAAGACAAGUUGGAAGUGAAAUCUAUGGGCUCAACCCAUAAACUGCUUUCAAAACUGUUUUUCUUGAGUAGUGCAGAGGUAGGCGGAAUUCCCGGUGUAGCGGUGGAAUGCGUAGAUAUCGGGAGGAACACCAGUGGCGAAGGCGGCCUACUGGGCACCAACUGACGCUGAGGCUCGAAAGUGUGGGUAGCANACAGGAUUAGAUACCCUGGUAGUCCACACCGUAAACGAUGAUUACUAGGUGUUGGAGGAUUGACCCCUUCAGUGCCGCAGUUAACACAAUAAGUAAUCCACCUGGGGAGUACGACCGCAAGGUUGAAACUCAAAGGAAUUGACGGGGGCCCGCACAAGCAGUGGAGUAUGUGGUUUAAUUCGACGCAACGCGAAGAACCUUACCAAGUCUUGACAUCCCUUGACGAUGCUGGAAACAGUAUUUCUCUUCGGAGCAAGGAGACAGGUGGUGCAUGGUUGUCGUCAGCUCGUGUCGUGAGAUGUUGGGUUAAGUCCCGCAACGAGCGCAACCCUUACUGUCAGUUACUACGCAAGAGGACUCUGGCAGGACUGCCGUUGACAAAACGGAGGAAGGUGGGGAUGACGUCAAAUCAUCAUGCCCUUUAUGACUUGGGCUACACACGUACUACAAUGGCGUUAAACAAAGAGAAGCAAGACCGCGAGGUGGAGCAAAACUCAGAAACAACGUCCCAGUUCGGACUGCAGGCUGCAACUCGCCUGCACGAAGUCGGAAUUGCUAGUAAUCGUGGAUCAGCAUGCCACGGUGAAUACGUUCNCCGGGCCAAGUACACACGGCCCGUC
rnacentral:rRNA from 1 species